CACUGAGGCAGUGAAUGGAAGUUCUGGGUCAAGAAACUUUAGAGAUAACGGAUCCAGAGAAGGGACACUUGGUGAUUGGAAAAUAGGAGUCACGCUCAGAAUAUACCCACAUCAAGGAAAAAAACACCAGAAGAUCUGAGAUAAGAAUCUGGAAGCUGAACCAGUCUGUUAUUAAUGAAAUAAUUGCUGGGGAGAGGGGGAUCCUAGAACAAUAUACCCACAUUGAGCAUUGCUAGAGAAAAUUGUACAACUGAGAAUUCUGGCUUAAAUUCGCCGUUAACCGGACUGUCGACACGGCCUGACCUUAUGCUUUGUUUCCUGUUCUUCACACAAUUGGAAAUCUUCCUGAAACUUCAAGUCCCAAGCUUUCCCCUUAUUCUCCGGAGAUAAC